UACAGCCUUGCUGAAUUAUUCACCCUUGUCUUUUGCGUACUUCUUGUUUCCUUGGUGGGUUCGCCCACCACUAGGACAAACAUAAACCUUUUGUAAUUGCAAUCAGCGUCAGUAACAAAUUAAUAAUUACAACUUUCAACAACGGAUCUCUUGGUUCUGGCAUCGAUGAAGAACGCAGCGAAAUGCGAUAAGUAGUGUGAAUUGCAGAAUUCAGUGAAUCAUCGAAUCUUUGAACGCACAUUGCGCCCUUUGGUAUUCCAAAGGGCAUGCCUGUUCGAGCGUCAUUUGUACCCUCAAGCUUUGCUUGGUGUUGGGCGUCUUGUCUCUAGCUUUGCUGGAGACUCGCCUUAAAGUAAUUGGCAGCCGGCCUACUGGUUUCGGAGCGCAGCACAAGUCGCACUCUCUAUCAGCAAAGGUCUAGCAUCCAUUAAGCCUUUUUUUUCAACUUUUGACCUCGGAUCAGGUAGGGAUACCCGCUG
rnacentral:rRNA from 1 species